rnacentral:rRNA from 1 species
CCUACGGGGUGCAGCAGUGGGGAAUAUUGCACAAUGGGGGAAACCCUGAUGCAGCCAUGCCGCGUGUGUGAAGAAGGCCUUCGGGUUGUAAAGCACUUUCAGUAGGGAGGAAGGUAGUGUAGUUAACACCUGCGCUAUUUGACGUUACCUACAGAAGAAGCACCGGCUAACUCCGUGCCAGCAGCCGCGGUAAUACGGAGGGUGCGAGCGUUAAUCGGAAUUACUGGGCGUAAAGCGCAUGCAGGCGGCCUGUUAAGUCAGAUGUGAAAGCCCGGGGCUUAACCUCGGAAUUGCAUUUGAAACUGGCAGGCUAGAGUCUUGUAGAGGGGGGUAGAAUUUCAGGUGUAGCGGUGAAAUGCGUAGAGAUCUGAAGGAAUACCAGUGGCGAAGGCGGCCCCCUGGACAAAGACUGACGCUCAGAUGCGAAAGCGUGGGGAGCAAACAGGAUUAGAUACCCCGGUAGUC